UGCCUUUAUGUGUUGCCCGCUCAGUGUUUCCGUCAUGAAGCGGGUGUCAGCAAAGGCAUACAGAAACUCUUGUGGUGGUCUUUGUGGGGGGGGUCCCUGGUGAUUCUCCUGACAGGACUCACAGCAAGCACACUG